GGCUCCAUAGCUGAGGGGUUUAGCGCUUUGGCCUUAUAAAUCCAGGCUUGUGAGUUUGAAUCUCACUGGAGCCU
rnacentral:tRNA from 1 species